AGAGUUUGAUCCUGGCUCAGAACGAACGCUGGCGGCGUGCUUAACACAUGCAAGUCGAACGUGAAAGUGGCUUCGGCCAUGAGUAAAGUGGCAGACGGGUGAGUAACACGUGGGUAACCUACCCCUUGGCGGGGAAUAACCAUUCGAAAGGGUGGCUAAUACCGCAUAAGACCACGUCCCUGACGGGAUGAGGUAAAAGACGAAAGUCACCGAGGGAGGGGCCCGCAGCCGAUUAGCUAGUUGGUGGGGUAAUGGCUCACCAAGGCAACGAUCGGUAGCUGGUCUGAGAGGAUGAUCAGCCACACUGGUACUUAGACACGGUCCAGACUCCUACGGGAGGCAGCAGUGGGGAAUUUUGCGCAAUGGACGAAAGUCUGACGCAGCAACGCCGCGUGGGUGAUGAAGGUCUUCGGAUUGUAAAACCCUGUCGUCAGGGACGAAGGUUGGGAUCCUAAUACGAUUUCAGCUUGACGGUACCUGGAGAGGAAGCCCCGGCUAACUCUGUGCCAGCAGCCGCGGUAAUACAGAGGGGGCAAGCGUUAUUCGGAAUUAUUGGGCGUAAAGGGCGCGUAGGCGGUUUUGUAAGUAGGAUGUGUAAUCCCCGAGCUCAACUUGGGAACUGCAUCCUAGACUGCAAGGCUAGAGUACUGGAGAGGGUGGUAGAAUUCCACGUGUAGCGGUGAAAUGCGUAGAGAUGUGGAGGAAUACCAGUGGCGAAGGCGGCCACCUGGACAGUAACUGACGCUGAGGCGCGAAAGUGUGGGGAGCAAACAGGAUUAGAUACCCUGGUAGUCC
rnacentral:rRNA from 1 species